UGUGCCCCUCUGCUCCCCUGCCAUAUGCUCAGGUGGGGCCACACACUGAUCUGCCCAGCGGCUCAGCCCUCCCACCCGGCCAUUCAGUGCAUGGCCCUGGGAUGCUUCCCCCUCUUCACCCUUGGCAAGUGAAAGUGAAACACGGAGUGGAGCUGAGUCACUGGAAAAUUCCCCUGACGGAGCCUCCAGCUGCCAGAGAAUCGUCUUGGGGGGCAGCUUCCCACAGCUAAACAGCACCUGAUCCAGACCCAGGUGUCCUAGGGGCCCUGACCAAGUCCCUGGAUGGGCUCCUCCCCCGAUGCCAACCUGCUGCAGACGGCCCUGGAUGAGGCACCCAAAAUCAACAACCGCAACUCGACGGUGCACGGGUGCCCGGCGCUGCGGGCCUGCCCCGGCUGUGGCGCUCUGGUGAGCCACACCCAGAAGGGCUGCCCCACGGUGUGGUGUGCCGAGUGCUCCUGUUCCUUCUGCUUCCGGUGCCUGAAAGUGGGUUACUGCGGGUACAAGCUCCCCCGGUGCCGCAUCCAGGAGAGGCAACGACUGCAGGGCAAGAGAAGCAGCCAGCCCCAGCUGUGAGCCAGGAACAUCUUUGUGCCAACAAGCGGGUGACGAACGGACGAGGGGACGGACCCUCCUGCCCACCCCUCCCUUUUGGGGUGUCAUGAACAUACAGCUAAGGGUAGCAUAAAAUCCCUCCUUUACCUGCAAAGGGUUAGAAGCUCAAAUAACCUGGUUGGCACCUGACCCAAACGACCAGUAAUGGGAGAAGAUACUUUCAAAUCUGUGGGGGAAGGUGUUUGCUUUGCGCUCUGUGUGACGUUCUCUCUGAGACAAAGGGGGAGAGAGACCUACUGAAAUGAUACAUCUAAUAUUACAGAAAUAGUAAGUAACAGCAAGGAAAUGCCUUAGAUUAUCUUUUGUUUUAGCUUGUGAAUUGUCCUAUGCUAAGAGGUUUAUUCCUGGUUUUUUUUGGUUUGUUUUUGUGUAACUUUAAAGUUUUGCCUAGAGGGGAAUCCUCUGUGUUUUAAAUCUUAUUACCCUGUAGAAUUACCUUCCAUCCUGAUUGUACAGAGGUGCUGCUUUUACUUGUUUCCUUAUUAUAAAGUUCUGAUUUUAAGAACA